AUGGCAGGCAGAUUCCUCAGGCUGUUCAAUGUGUUCAGGGGGAACAGAAACACAGACCCUGGAGCUGCACAACCUCCUGAAGAGCAGGAGCAGUUCCAGCCACUGCAGGAUGAUGCAGCCAUGGACCAGACACAAGAGCAGGAGCCUGCCCGUGGCCGCUUCCACAGAGCAGCGCAGAGGUUCCGCAAAUUCCUGCGCAUUCGGCACAGAAGGAACACCACAGCAGCAACUGAGGACACAGCUGAGCCUGACUGCAGGCUGACCGAGCUCCAGGCAGAGCCUGAUGUCAGCCCGGAUUCAGCUGAGCACUCACAAGAGUCUGAUGCUGCAGUGAAUGAUGAGAGGGAAAACUCUGACAAGGCAGUGACUGAGGAUGUGGCUAUUCCAAAUGAUGAUGCUGGAGAGACUCAGGGCAUUGCAGAUGCUGGCAUCACACCCACUCCUGCUCUGAGUCAGGAGCUCAUAAGGGACAAUUUCAAGGACAACUGUUUUUCUUCUGAGCAGCAGGUGCCAGCUACUGUGAGGAACAUUUACCAGAGUCUGGUGUCCUGUGUCACUGUGGAUGUCAGGCAGCAAAUUGACAUUAUAAGGCUGGCUGAAGAACACCCUGCUGAUGUGGUGCUGACCCUCCUGCACUGUGCCCCAUCGUGUGACAGGUAUGGGGCCCACGUGCCUUGAGAGCUCAGGGCUCACCGGCCUUUAGGGCCCAUGGCCCUGCACAGCCUGUCCAGUGGGCUCUGCCCAACAGGCAGAGAGGUCCAGG
rnacentral:lncRNA from 1 species